UACAGAGGUCCCAAGCGUUGUUCGGAUUCACUGGGCGUAAAGGGUGCGUAGGCGGUCGGGUAAGUCUGGUGUGAAAUCUCCAAGCUCAACUUGGAAAUGGCAUCGGAUACUAUUCGGCUCGAGGAAUGGAGGGGAGACUGGAAUACUUGGUGUAGCAGUGAAAUGCGUAGAUAUCAAGUGGAACACCAGUGGCGAAGGCGAGUCUCUGGACAUUUCCUGACGCUGAGGCACGAAAGCCAGGGGAGCAAACGGG
rnacentral:rRNA from 1 species